rnacentral:lncRNA from 1 species
CAGAUCUUAAAGAUUUUCCGGAAGACAAUCUUGCUCUUCAACUGAGAAUCCUAUUUAAAUCGUAACCCUUGCAACCUUAGGCCAGUGAGGCUGCUUCUGUCUGAGAGAAGUAAUUAUUCAUCAACUUCCAUAAUUACAAAAUCUUAGAGCAGGCAAAGACCAUAUGGAGGUUGUUGAGUCCAACUUGAUUACUCAGAAGAAAAAUAGACACUAAUGUUGGGUUUCUGCAAAACCCAGUUUCCUUUCUACUUUAAUAUCUAGCAUUCUAUAUUUGUGAAGUUAAUAUCUUAGAUUAAGAAAAAAUUCAUCCUUGCACUCACCCGAACACGUAGCCUCACCUUAUGACAUCAUAGUCACCAUAGCAACACCCGUGAGUUGGCAGCAUAUUGCCUUCAGUGAGGGAUCAUGGCAAUGAGUUAACAAAGGAUGGCAGCUUCAGAUGUUGAUGUGAACAGGAAGGGAAGAAGUGGAAAAGGAGGAACAGGCAUCUGCAAUAAAAAAAAAAAAGUUUAGAAGACUAAUGAGUAACACUGCCUCUUUCUCUACAAUAUUCAGAACUUAUUGGUAAUAAGAUUCAAGAAGCACAUAAAUAAAGAUCAAACAUUUCAGGUUUACUACCAACAAAAGCUUUUGGGAUGAGAAAACAGGGAGUGGAGAAAUAGAAGCCUGGAAAGAGGAAACUAGAGGAAGAGAAACCACAGAGAGCAGUUUGAAGGCAGAAGCACGCCCACAGGGUGCUUUGGAGACCCUCCAGGCUGCAGAGAAGAGCAAGGUUGAAAAUCAAUGCAUCUGGUUCACCUUGAAUCUUGAGCUGCAUAUUUUUAGCAUCAGAAAAGCCUGUAUUGCCAGAAUUACUGGAGAAAAAGCAGAUAACCCCACAACGUCCUCCAGCCAAGGAGGAGGGCAGAGGGCUCAGAGGAGCAGAGUGCCUGCAGCUUAGAUGAUUCACCAGCCUUGAUUCUUACAGCAUGCAGGCUGGUGACUAUGACCCAGGGACCAUGAACCAUGAGUUAGAAUUUUCUGACAGAGUCCCUGAUCUCAGGCUACCAUUUUCUUUAAUAAUUGAGAUAAGCAUGGGAAGGAGGCUUAAAGUA